UUUAACCAAUCCGAUUUUUCUUGUAGCUUGGCCUGUUUCUGCAUUUGUUUCAGUAGGUCCCAUGUGACUUCUUUUUGUUCCAGGUCUUCCUGUGCUAGCAUAAUCUGGUCUGAUUGGACUCUUUCCUCUUCAACUGCUGCUUUUCUG